GACGAACGCUGGCGGCGUGCUUAACACAUGCAAGUCGAACGGAAAGGCCCUGCUUGCAGGGUGCUCGAGUGGCGAACGGGUGAGUAACACGUGGGUGAUCUGCCCCUUACUUUGGGAUAAGCCUGGGAAACUGGGUCUAAUACUGGAUAGGACCAUGCUGUAGGUGGUGUGGUGGAAAGAUUUUUUCGGUAAGGGAUGAGCUCGCGGCCUAUCAGCUUGUUGGUGGGGUAAUGGCCUACCAAGGCGUCGACGGGUAGCCGGCCUGAGAGGGUGGACGGCCACAUUGGGACUGAGAUACGGCCCAGACUCCUACGGGAGGCAGCAGUGGGGAAUAUUGCACAAUGGGCGCAAGCCUGAUGCAGCGACGCCGCGUGGGGGAUGACGGGCUUCGGGUUGUAAACUCCUUUCAGCCAUGACGAAGCCUCUUUUGGGGUGACGGUAGUGGUAGAAGAAGCACCGGCUAACUACGUG
rnacentral:rRNA from 1 species